UUUUUUUUUUUUUAAGUUUUCCAGUUUUUCAUUUUUCGUUUUAAUCUUUGUCCAUAUUUUGUUUGGGACAAAAUUGCCCAGUUUUGGCCGUAGGAGAAAUUAAGCACUCGUUAGUCUGCAAAUUCAAAUUCUUAUUUUAAAUUAACUCCGCCACUUUAAAAUUUAUUUAAAAUAAGGUUGUUUGUGAAUUCUAUUUUUUUUUUUUUUUAAAUGCUCCUACUUUAUGCCCUUAUUUAUAAUUUUCCAUCAUCAAUUAACGGUCACUCCCUUGUGCAAAUGUCUAAGAUACAUUUAAGAUCAUGAACCCUAGUGAUUGGAUUUUUUUUUUUCCAUAUAUGUAUCCAUUUCACUUCUAAGACAUUCACUCAAUUUUGUGACAAUAAGCAUCUGGAUUGAGCUUUUAUUCAAAUCACAUUUUCAUGUUUUCUUUGAGCUCUAGGAAGGAUGACGUUUGAAAUUGGUUAUGAUGAUACAUUCCUGGAGAUUAAAGGGAAGAUAAAAAAAUAACACGAAAAAUCCAUCUAUGGCCAAACUUUUGUUUUCGACAGUGAGGUUCUUGAAGACGAGCUCAAUGUCGAGGUUGCAACAUCCUCAAUCAUUCCCACAUUUAGGUCAUCUUUGUGCCAGAGUCACUUCCAUCCAUUAAAAUUGAACUUAGCAUAGGAUUGCCACCGUCCGAAAUGUAGCUUCACAUCAAAGUUAACAUGAAUGAUCUUAUGAAACCCUUUAGAGAGGUAGUCUGAUUCCUAGAAGAUGUCCCUCUUGAAUGGGGGAUGCUAUUUGCAAAUGGAACUUAUCUUGAAGAUGAUCACCGGAUUUGCUAUUAUGAGCUUCAGGAAAAUUCCGGUGUCGACAUUCAUAGCAAGCCUCUGUUGAAGAAGUUUGCGAUGAUAGUGUUGCCAUGGAAGGCCAACCUAAAAGUUGUGGUGGAAGUGAAACCGUGGGAUAAAGUAAAGAAUUUGAGGAAAGAGCUCGAGAAGUCACAGCCAAGCCCAAAGUUUGAUCUUCCCUUGGAGGGGUAUUUUUUUCAUACAUAAACAAAGCAGGAUGGAUGAAGAUAAGUCUUUCAAAUUGGCGCGACGUCGAGAUGGGUGAUGGUAUUGAGGUUUUUAGGGGGAGGAUGUCACGGUGAGUCCUGGUUUUUGCUUCCAAUAUCCAUUCAAUGCGGUUUCUCGGGAGAUCUAUGGCAGGAUGACAAUCAGAUUUUUCAAAAAUCAAUUUCUUAUAUCACCUUUCCUCUUCCAUGAAAACACCCACCUUCUCCCUCUCCUCCUUUGCUCUGUUCUCCUCUCUUCAACGCCCUCACAUUUUCCUCCCCCAAAUCGCAAUCUCAAUCCGCUCAGUUUCUCGUCGUCCUUCAUGAUCCACAUCUUCGCCGAAGGAGAUUCUCUUUCUAUUCACUUCCAUCUAGACUCGCCUCUUCAAAGCACUGCAAGUGGAGAGAGACAAGGUAGGGGCAUUUAUUUAUUUAUUUAUUUAUUUGGUAAGGUAAGAGGUAGGGGAAUUUAUUUGUUGACACCUUGUUGGAAAACUUGGGAUUGCGGAGAAGAAGUAAGUUUCUUUCGCGAUCAAAAACAUCCCUUUCUUCUAUAUUAUAACUCUUGUUCUGAUGUAGAAUUCGCGCUGUUUCGAUCGUUUUUCGCUUCUCUGAUUUUGACCCAUUGGGUUUCUUUCUCCCCGUCCCGAGACCCAAGUAGUCUGUCAAUCAAUCAAUCGUUUCGUUGAACCCCCAAAGUCUGAAUCUUCCUUUCUUUCUUUUCUUGAUUUCGUGUCUGGUAUGCUAUUGCAGUGCCUUUUUAUACGCUACGUUCUUGGUUCUCUCACUCUUUUCCCGGUUUUCAAUCUAUUUUUUGUGCUCUUGAUUAUGUGGGUUUGUAGGUUUGCUGGAGAGAGAGAGAGAGAGAGAGAGAGAGAGAGGGUUAUUUGUGUGGGGCACAAGCGUGAUGUUUUGGUGCUUGAAAUCUGCAGAGUGUAAUUGGAGUUUGAUAAGGUAGAAGUUUUGGGAUAUUCCUUUUCCCCUAAUUCUUUUAGUUCAAAGCACAAGUUGUGUGUUACUUCUAUAUAUAUAUAUUGGGCACAACCCCGGAGAAAUUCAAUUUUUAGCUCUUUGUUUCUAGCUCUACCUUCUUGUCACAGGCUGAAAAAGCAGCACGUAUGACGGCUGAAACAAAGAAAUGAACUUUGAAGACGUUUUUGUUGUCAUAGCCUGGGUGUGAAAGCAGGAGAUACUGUGACACUGUUUUACGACCCUGCUGAACACAGCCUUGCAUGGAAAGUCAGAAAUUUAGUUGAGAUAUUCCUAUAACCGACCCACCGGAAUGGGCCAUUGCCGCCACAGAGAAUGGUACCUGCAGAAAAUGGUCCUCAUGUAAAAGCCACUGUGGAAGUUCCAUUGGAUGCUUACAUGAUAGACUUUGUGUUCUCUGAGAGAGAAGAUGGAGGGAUUUUUGACAACAAAGAUGGCAUGGACUACCAAUACCUGUGUUUGGAGGAUUAAUAAGGGAGCCACCAAUGCACACAUUACACAUUGCAGUUGAAAUGGCUCCAAUUGCGAGGGUAAUCUCUAUGUUGUGAUUCCAGGUGGGAGGCCUUGGUGAAGUUGUGACUAGUCUAUCCCAUUCUGUUCAAGAAUUAAAUCACAAUGUUGACAUUGUUCUUCCAAAGUAUUACUUUUUGAACCUUGGCAUUGUCAAUGACUUCCAGCUUCACAGGAGUUAUGGCUGGGGUGAGAAUGAAAUAAAAGUUUCGCAUGGAAAGGUGGAAGGUGUUCCGGUGUACUUUUUGGAGCCACAGAAAGGGAAUUUUCUGGAGAGGCUGCGUAUAUGGCUGUAACAAUGAUGGUGAAAGAUAUUGGGUUUCUUUUGCCAUGCCACAUCAGAGUUUCUACAACAAAGUGGCUUCCAUCCUGAUAUCAUCUGCUGCCAUCAUUGGUCCGGUGCAACCUGUCUCAUGGUUGUUUAAGGACCACGAUGAGUAGUAUGGUCUUAGCAAAGCUCGGAUUGUCUUCACUAUCCACAACCUUGAAUUUGGGGCACAUCUCAUUGGGAAAGCUAUGGCUUACUUGGACAAGGCUAUAACUGUCUCAAAACACUUAUUCGAAAGAGAUUUCUGGAAAUCCUGUUAUUGUUCCUCAACUAUAUAAAAUUCAUGGCAUUCUGAAUGGAAUUGAUCCAGAUAUAAGGGACCCAUACAAUGACAAAUUCAUUCCUACUGAAGAUAUUUGUUCCUCUGGCAUUCCUGGCACGGACUAUUUUGGUACCAGUAAAUUGGACGAAUAGCACUGUAGAGCUGGCCAAGCUUGAGUGUGUGACUUCUAGCAAUACUGACAAACUCUCAAUUUCAAAUGUUCCGCUAGGAUCAGUUUUGGGCUUAUAUUGUAAUGGCUCAUGUAUUUACCUUUUGAACAUGCUUUGUGUUGCUUAAGGGGUAUGAGACUGUUGCUUCAAUGCGGCUGCAGUUUGUUGUAUCAGAACGGGGACACGCUGAUCAACUUUCAGUAGGGUAGACUGCAUGUGUCGUUCGAAUCAACUUUCGGUAGGGUGGACUGCAUGUGUUGUUUGGUGGAAAUUAAGCUAGACAGAUGAUCGUUUGUUAAUGUUGAUUUGGUUGAAAUCUUUAAUUUUGGAACUUGGAGGCUAUUUAUUGCAAGGGUUUGUCUGUAAUAUCCUAUAGUUUUCCGUGGACCCAAAUCUUAGUCGGUGCUUGCGAGAAAUGUUCCCCCAGAUCCAGAUGAGUAUGAUAGUGAGCUCGUGGAGCACUUUUUCUUGGUUAAUCAUCCGGAUCAUUAUCGAACCCGUCAGGUUGGCUUGAUGAAACUGAAGGUCUUUCUACCAUAAAAUCUGGUAGAUAUUUUGUAUGGGAACGGCCACGCUAUGGCUUCAUGUUUCUUGUCAAGAUUUAAAAUCACACCGUCGAAACCCAUUUGCUCAC